rnacentral:rRNA from 1 species
CACCUCAUAGUAUUAUUUUAUCGCAUGAUAAUGAUAAUUAAAGGUUACGGUACAGGAUGGGCAUGCGUCCUAUUAGCUAGAUGGUAAGGUAACGGCUUACCAUGGCUACGAUAGGUAGGGGGCCUGAGAGGGUGGUCCCCCACACUGGUACUGAGACACGGACCAGACUCCUACGGGAGGCAGCAGUGAGGAAUAUUGGUCAAUGGGCGCAAGCCUGAACCAGCCAUGCCGCGUGCAGGAAGAAUGCCCUAUGGGUUGUAAACUGCUUUUAUUUAGGAAUAAACCUUACUACGUGUAGUAAGCUGAAGGUACUGAAUGAAUAAGCACCGGCUAACUCCGUGCCAGCAGCCGCGGUAAUACGGAGGGUGCAAGCGUUAUCCGGAAUCAUUGGGUUUAAAGGGUCCGCAGGCGGAUGUAUAAGUCAGUGGUGAAAUCCUAUCGCUUAACGAUAGAACUGCCAUUGAUACUGUAC